AUUUAUACAAAGUUAACACUUUUUGACCCAAGAAAUUUGUUAAAGUGUCCCUACCGAUUGUUGUUAGGAAAAAACACGUAAUUUUCUCAUUUACGAUACAUUUUUCUAAAAACCGUAGAGUGGCGCCACUGCAGUAUUUGUUUGGUCGACAUACCACGUUGGUUGUAGUGAAUGCACCUUGCAGUAAGGCGGUAUUUGAGUUAUAUUUUAGAAGUGCCUAGACAAAAUCUGCUCCUUGUCGUGUGCAGUAACCAUCGCAAACCCUCCGGACUUGUGUAACGCCGUUAGUUCGCCGUGUGUUUCGUGCGAUCUACCAGUGUCGACAGUGAGUGUCUUACUACAGCGCCCGUCCGAGCUGCCUUUGUUCUGCCGAGCUGCCUGCCCGCGCUCUCGUGAAAAGUCUGGUACUGGAGCUUCGAAUCGUAGUGUAUGGAAGACUGUUGAAGGUUGUGCUUUUGUGGAGCUGGAGUUCAUCGGAAGUUCUACAGUGCUUGCGCCAGAAAAACGUCGGUGCCUCGGUACCUUUGAGACGAAGGAGCGUUGGCCAAGUCUUUUUGAAAGGCUAUGCGGAUUCUGGAGGCAUCCCUACAUCAAGCAGGAACCUGCUGCACUGCUGGAAGCUGGACAGCACGACAAUAAAGCACGUGAUCUGUGUGCUUUCUCAAAGGUAGACAUCGGCGACGGUGUAUAUGUUGAAAAGUGCCUGCUGAAGAGGCUGCGCCUGGAUGCUAACAACUCAGGCUUUCAGUUCGCGGGGGGCCUCCUUAAGGCUCCUUUUACAAAAGAAGAGGUUGAAGGGAGGCGCUACACAUGGAUGCGCAGCGAUUGUUUGUGACAUCGUCACUGCUGGCAGGCCUGGCCUGCCUUUUCGCUUCGUUCUGGGUCUUCCACGUUAUCUACUCGAAAACGCCCACAGGGUUUUGACAUUUAUUGAGCACUGCUUUCUGGAUUUGAGCUACACAAAGCUGCAGGUGAAAGCAUUGGAUUUAGUCAAUAUUUACUAGAACUAUUCCUAGGCAAAAAAAUUUACAGAUGCAUAUCCUCAAGAAAGUUUCUGUAAAAAUUAUUUUGCCUAACAAAAGCACUCGUGGGUUCUGUGGCUGGCAGCUUGCCCAAGCCAUGUAGCACAGUGCUUGCUUUAAAGGGACACGAAAGGGAAAAUUUAUUUGAGCGUUAUUAAAUCAUUUUUCUACAACACCGAAAAAACAACUCCCUCUAAGAGAAUUGGCUUGAUAAGCCAGAUAACUUGCAAAAACGAAAACUGGUGUCGCCACCACCACCUUAUAAUUCCUGCACCAGCUCGCUGUGAUAUGGAAUUUGACGGUGUCUGUUCGGGUCUAGCUAAUGUUCUACUGGCCAAUAUUGAUGAAUUCUGUUGUAAAGGUGUCAAAGAAUAUACCUAGUUGAAGUAUGACUCCACACUGAUGUGCGGGCACUGCAUAAAACUUGAAAGUUAAAUCUUCAUUUUCUCAUCUAUUAAUCCGCUUAUUGCCACAAUGUUCAUGAAUACAGUUCUGAAAGAUUGUUUUAUCAGUCUAAAAUCAUUUAUUGUUUCUCUUUAGUAUCUCUGUAAUGGACCUUUAGCAACAAAAUGUGUGUUAGUUUGCGACAGGUAUUCUCAGCGGGGGCAAGAGCACCAGCAGCAUGCUCAGUGAUUCUGUACCAACUGAUAAUUUGAAGGAUGUCCUGUGCCACUAGGGUUAGGCCAACAUGGCUCUGUGUUAAUCACCACAAGUGUAUUAUGCAAAACUUAAUGGCCCAGAAAUUGGUAAUUCAGGGGGGAGUUGAAUUAGCUGUUUAUUUUUUUUUCUUUAUCAUGGACUUCUCACAUUACACUUUGUCACAACGCAUUCACUUUAAAGUAACUGGAGAAUAAGGUGGUUUGGUAUUCAGACAUGCCUUCUGUGUGUAAACAGUGUUAGAUGAGCAAUACAAAGAUACACCAUAGAUGCUGACUGGCAACAUGAAGGGGUUUGAGGGCAGCUACGAAUAUACAUCCUUGUAGUCGUACCUAUAGCACUAUGUUCAAUUUGUCACACAAGCAUAUGGCAUCCAUCACAACUGCAUGCCUAGAAAAAGACAAGGGCAACACACUCAAUUACCUUUUAUUCUAUCUAAGAAGCACUACAAUAUUUAGGCAACGAAAUUGACAUCUGGCUUGUACCCAUAAGUACUGCAAUACAGUUGCAUAACAUGUUACUCUUGUGUGGAAAAAGGGCUGCAUACGUUUUCUUUGAGCACAAGGGGGAGUGGUAUCAGUUAAAGCCCCUCCAUCCACGCGCCACUGCCGCUUUCUUAAGUAGCGACAACCUUUGUUGUACGCCGCCUUUUCCCCUGACAUCAAAUCCGGUUCCAGCAUUUCCAGUUUCAAAGUUUCCGGUUCCGGCGUUACCGCUUCCUGGAGUUGUGCUGCGGGAAUUUCCGCUUUGACUGCCGAUGGUGAGAUGCCCACGCGUGCUUAGCAGAGCUGUGGUAGUCACCAUGAGAAGAAUGCAAAGGCGACAAGCUGUUGUAUUCCGCUGAAGUAGUAAUUCUCGGUCGCUGUUUUCUAAAUGCACGAAAAAUGGCAGUGGUCUCCAAGCGCCCAGGCACUACAUUCCACUGUACGUUGUCUCGUGGCACAACCCGUCGCAGGUUGACGCGAAACAGCGAACACGAUCAGAUCGCUGGUUACAAUAGGCGGUGGUACUUGGAUGGAAUCGCAUUCACAGUUUAAACCGCAGCUGGUGCAAUUAAAGCCUCUCCAUCGACGCGAAAGUAAACAACGUUAAGAAAAACAUAGCGUUACUUCCACUCGGAACAGGAAGCUGCAGCUACGGAAGUUCCGCUUGACGCCGGAAGCUAAGGGGGCGAGUGGCAGAGGAACGUGGAGGAAGAGGGUAGGUUGGCGGUACUUAACCUGGUCGGCGGAAACGUGUAUGGAGGGGCUUUAGUAUCAGUUAAUGGCUGUUUUCACAUAUAUGUUUUGUCGUGUGUAUUAGCAAUCACCACUUUCCUUAUCUGAGUGAGGUCAUUUUUUAGAAAGUUUGAAAGUUUAUAGAACAUGUUGCUCAUGGUUGUUGCAGUUUUCUUCCUAACUAUCCAUUCAUUGCACUGUGCACCCAUGUCUUGGGCAACUAGCUGUUUGAAGGUCAGCAUGCUAUCGAUGGGUCUAAUGAUAAUCUCUAGUGCCCUCUCAUUUGCUUGUUGCAAUACUUAAGAGUUAGAUUUUGUAUACUGUGUCACUGGUUUAUUUUCACUGUACUUUAGUUUCACUACAUCUUGAAUGUGUUGUGAUAGUUUUUCUUUUGCAAUGAAAGAUAUGGUGGGCAGUUGCCGACACUAAUGUUUCGCUGGGCAGUAAUGGUCAUUAGCAGCAGAUGCUAGCUGCCCUUAAGUGCAAUGUUUUUAUGUUGCAUAGUAUUGUUCAUGAUCCAUUGAAUGCACUGCACGCACAUGUUGUGGACAACUGCCUGUUUGAAGAAAUUAUCUGCAUAUUCAGUGGGUCUAAUGUGAACAUCUCUACUACUGACUUAGCUUCACUACAUCUUGAAUGUGUUGUGAUAGUUUUUAUUUUGCCGUGACAGAUGUGGUGGGCAGUUGCCGGCACUAAUGUGAUAGUACGAAUGCUUGCUGUAUUUACCACAUGGUUGUUUCAUUUUGUCUGGCGCAGUAAUAGCCGUUAGCAGCAGAUGCCAUUUGGCCUUAAGUGCAAUAUUUUUAUGUUGCAUAGUUAUGUUCAUACUAAUCCAUUGGAUGCACAGCACACCCAUGUUCUGGACAACUGCCUGUUUGAAGGAAUGACCUGCAUAUUCAGUGGGUUUAAUGUGAACGUCUCUAGUACUGACUGUAUAUUUAUCAGUUAGGUUUUAUAUUGUAUGUUGCUUGUUUUCACUGUAGGCUGCUGAGCACGAGGUCGCGGGAUCGAAUCCCGGCCAUGGCGGCCGCAUUUCGAUGGAGGCGAAAUACGAAAACACCCGUGUACUUAGAUUUAGGUGCACGUUAAAGAUCCCCAGGUGGUCGAAAUUUCCGGAGUCCUCCACUACGGCGUGCCUCAUAAUCAGAAAGUGGUUUUGGCACGUAAAACCCUAUAAUUUAAUUUUUUUUUUCACUGUACUUUAGUGGGAUUGCACAUUGAAUGUGUUGUGAUGUAUUUUAUUUUGCUAUGAGAGAUCUAAUGGGCAGUUACCAGCCCCCGGUCUUUGUAUUAGUACAAAUAUUUAUUAUGCUUAUCACAGCAUUUUGUAAGGCUAUAGUUUUGUGAUGAUUAACUCAUGCCUGACUUUUUUAUGAGAAACAUGUCACAACUAAUAAACAAUCACUCAUGCUUGGGAUCCAUGAAA